UGGGUUGUGGCUCAGUGGUACAGCGUUCACCUCGAAUGUGUGAGACCCUGGGUUGGAUUCUUAGCACUUCAU
rnacentral:tRNA from 1 species